AUGCAGACUUUUUACCUGGAGCUCAGGUGUGGCUUGGACUGUGGCUCCUGCAGCACCAGGGAACGGCUAAAGAGACAUUCUCAGUCUGCAUUGACCUGCACCCUCCCACUGCCCUCUGCGCAUGGACUCGUCUAGGAAAUGCCAGCUCACACUAGUAGCCUGGAUGUAAUGAUUGUCCAAAUGGAAGAGGCUGCAUAAUUGAUCUGUUUCUGCUCCAACUGGUACAGUGCCACCGCCCUCACAUGUGGUUUGGAGAGCUGAGGAUGGACACCCUGCGUGCUGUGAGCUCUCUGGGAUGACGUCCAGCUGUCUGUUGAUAGUGUCCUUGUGGCUCCAACAUGAUGACAAAACUCUCUGGAGCUGACCCGCUGCUGCCUGAAAUGACUUCCCCAGAUGACCCUUUGUCCAAGAGCCCUGGCCCUCCCUCCACUGCUCUCCCUGACUCUCCUCUCAUAUGAAUUCCCUCCAUCCUUUAUGAGAAAAUCACUCAUUUUAUGUAUUAUGCCAUCACUAUGAGGCAGGAACACAGAUUUGGGUCUAAACCACACGUGCUUUAUAAAAUAUUUCUUCCAGAUUUUUAUCCCUCAGUCAUGUGGGAUUUGGGUGGAAAAUUAGGGAAAUAAUUCACCUCAUGGAGAGAUUUCCAUUCUUUGGGAACUCCCACGUCUGACUGGAGACACACAUGUGUCCUCAUUUCAAUGAGGAAAUCCUGGAUUAACUGUGUGUGUGGCUGUGCUGUCUUCUAUCAGCUCUGCAGAAGUGAUGGCCUCAGAGCCAGAGUCAUGGUUGAUGCUGCCUCAUUGAGUAUCACAGGUUAGGAUGGACUGAAGAGGACAACUUAGGGCCAAACUUCAAUAUGGAACCACCAGGGGUUGUGAUUCUGUUUCGCUUCGUGCAAUCUUUUCUUCUUCCCAUAAAUUUUCUUUAUUCAGAUUUAAAAAGUUUUGUUUCUACAAAACCCCUGAAAAUGCCAGCAGGUCUCAGUGAGCUCUCAUUAUGUAGACUCAUCAGUGUGUAGGAUGCUGUGUGGUUCUGGGGUGACUCCAGGAUGUUGAGCACUUGGUAUGUGGGUGAGUAACAUAGACAUUGUGACAGAGAAGGUCACUGUCCUGCCUGAUGGGUAGCAGGCCUCUGUGACUGAUUCUCAAGGCCUUGUGCACGGCCACCACAGUCUACCCAAGAACAAUGGAGAACACACUUGACCUGAUGUGGUGAGCACUCUCCCUAAAGGAGCUAGUUCAGAAGUCAGCCUCACUUCUCGCAGGAGAACUUGUUAUGAGAGGAAGAAAAGGCUGUUCUACGAUCCAGCCAUGAUCACCAGUAGAGCAGAAGGAGGCGGAGAAGGCUACCUUGUGGGGCAGCUGCCACUGCAGGGCCUGUUAGAGAAACUGUCCUCUUCAUAGAACAAUACAUCUGCAAUAACUUAAAAAUUUAGCAACAUAGAGGCCGGCCUGGAGUUGUAGCAAUUAAGUGGAGGUGCUCCCCUUCUAUGGCCUGGGUUUCACCAGUUUGGAUCCCAGGCAUGAACCUACACACCACUUAGCAAAUCAUGCUGUGGCAGGUGUCUCAGAUAUAAAACAGAGAAAGAUGCGUACAGAUGUUACCUCAGGGCCAAUCUUCCUCAGCAAAAAUAGGAGGAUCAGUGGCAAAUUUAAGCUCUCAGGUUGUGGGCCAACUGUCUGCUUCCAAAGAACGCUUCCUUCUAGAGGAUCCCUGAGAAUCCUGAGUUAGAGGUCCAGUAUGGAGGAGGCUGCCAGAGGAGUGGAAUUCUGAGUUGCCUCUUCAGUUGUAAGCUGUGAACCCAGAGAAACAUGCUGGCUGUAGAUAAUGAAGAGACUGUUCAGUACAAUGAGAAAAGGCAGCCUGAAUCUGUUUUCGACUCCCACUGAAACGUUGGUUCUUCCUGGGUCUGAUGCCUGCUGAUCUCUGGACUGGAACUACACCAUCAGCUCUGCUGGGUCUCUGGUUUACCACUCAUCCUCAAGAUCCAGGACUUGCCAGAUUCCAUGAUCUCUUGAGUCAUGAACAUGGAGUUAUCAUUGGAUGUCCACGGGGAAACAUCGCUCCCUUUGGAACUGAAGCCUCUAGAGAAGCAGAACAAAUGACUACAGAGACAGUAAGGAAAAGUUCACUAGAUGUCCACUAGAGGUAAUGUCAAGUGAAUCCACUCCCAUUUCCUCCCCUUGAUUCCUUGGCCUGUGCACCCUGACUAUGGGAGAAAGAGUGUCACAUAUUGGACACUGUCUUAUAGCAUCUGCAGCCUCUGGAGAACCUUGUCUCACCCAUACAAGGUUUACCCACCAAGUUGGCACUGUAACGGAGUUUCCAAAGGGCCAUUCCAAAGUUCCAUCAAGCCAACUGCUUCAGGAUGUUGGGGAACAGGGUGAGACCCAUGAGCACCAUGGCCAUGGGACCAUUGAAAUACUUCCUCUCCUCUGAAGGUGGUUCCUUGAUAUAUGCACAUUACAUAUACAACAGGGUUGAAAAUGCAUUCCUUAUGUUCAGGGAUAAUGUUUCAUCGAAAGCAUUGCAAGCAAAGAAUGCAUAUCCACAUCCAUAGGAAGUAUCUAUUCCAGCACAGAGCAAACACUAUGCCUUCCACGAUGGACAUAGUCCAAUGUAAUCAACCUGCAACCAGACACCCAAGGAAUGGUGACCGAUCAGGGGCUCAGUGUUGGUCUCUGUUGCUAGCAGACUGGACACUCAGGAAAGGCUAUCUGUAGGUACGACCAGAUGCAUGGCGGUCCAUGUUGCUGAGCCCAUGUGAAACCUCCAUUCCCACCACCAUGAUCACUUUGUUCAUGAGCCCUUUCUCGAGGACAGUGAUGGCAAGAGAAAGAGGCUGACUGCUAUCCACAGACCUGGCCAUCCUACUCACUUGAUUAAUAAAACACUCCUGUCCUGAGGUCACCCUUUAAUGAGCAUUCUCACGGGACAGCCAUAUCCUCAUGUUUUCCAACUAUUCAGAGAUCUAUCCACAUAUCUCUUCCCCAAAUGUCUUUGUUAUCAAUCAUCCAAUCAUGUUCCUUCAAAG
rnacentral:lncRNA from 1 species